rnacentral:tRNA from 1 species
GUCUCAGUAGUGUAGUGGUUAACACGCGAGCACCGGAUUGCCACCAGACGCGGGUUUAAAUCCCGCUUGAGCCG